rnacentral:rRNA from 1 species
UGCCUCAGUAACGGCGAGUGAAGCGGCAACAGCUCAAAUUUGAAAUCUGGCUCUUUUAGAGCCCGAGUUGUAAUUUGUAGAGGAUGCUUCGGCGUCGGCUCCGGUCUAAGUUCCUUGGAACAGGACGUCACAGAGGGUGAGAAUCCCGUAUGUGAUCGGUUGCCUUUGCCAUGUGAAGCUCCUUCGACGAGUCGAGUUGUUUGGGAAUGCAGCUCUAAAUGGGAGGUAAAUUUCUUCUAAAGCUAAAUACCGGCCAGAGACCGAUAGCGCACAAGUAGAGUGAUCGAAAGAUGAAAAGCACUUUGGAAAGAGAGUCAAAAAGUACGUGAAAUUGUUGAAAGGGAAGCGCUUGCAAUCAGACCUGCCUGCAGUUGCUCAUCCGGGCUUUUGCCCGGUGCACUCUUCUGCUGUCAGGCCAGCAUCAGUUCGGGCGGUCGGAUAAAGGCUUCGGGAAUGUAGCUCCCCUCGGGGAGUGUUAUAGCCCGUUGCGAAAUGCGGCCAGCUUGGACUGAGGUCCGCGCUUCGGCUAGGAUGCUGGCGUAAUGGUUGCAAGCGGCCCGUCUUGAAACACGGACCAAGGAGUCUAACAUCUGUGCGAGUGUUUGGGUGUCAAACCCGUACGCGUAAUGAAAGUGAACGGAGGCGGGAACCCCUCGGGGUGCACCGUCGACCGAUCCUGAUGUCUUCGGAUGGAUUUGAGUAAGAGCAUAGCUGUUGGGACCCGAAAGAUGGUGAACUAUGCCUGAAUAGGGUGAAGCCAGAGGAAACUCUGGUGGAGGCUCGCAGCGGUUCUGACGUGCAAAUCGAUCGUCAAAUUUGGGCAUAGGGGC